AGUGAACGCUGGCGGUAGGCCUAACACAUGCAAGUCGAACGGCAGCACAGUAAGAGCUUGCUCUUACGGGUGGCGAGUGGCGGACGGGUGAGGAAUACAUCGGAAUCUACUUUUUCGUGGGGGAUAACGUAGGGAAACUUACGCUAAUACCGCAUACGACCUACGGGUGAAAGCAGGGGAUCUUCGGACCUUGCGCGAUUGAAUGAGCCGAUGUCGGAUUAGCUAGUUGGCGGGGUAAAGGCCCACCAAGGCGACGAUCCGUAGCUGGUCUGAGAGGAUGAUCAGCCACACUGGAACUGAGACACGGUCCAGACUCCUACGGGAGGCAGCAGUGGGGAAUAUUGGACAAUGGGCGCAAGCCUGAUCCAGCCAUGCCGCGUGUGUGAAGAAGGCCUUCGGGUUGUAAAGCCCUUUUGUUGGGAAAGAAGAGCAGCAGGUUAAUACCCCGCUGUUCUGACGGUACCCAAAGAAUAAGCACCGGCUAACUUCGUG
rnacentral:rRNA from 1 species